GUACUAUGGCUGUUACUAUACCUUCGUCUUCUGUGAAGUUUGCUGAAAUAAAUCAAAGGAUUAUCUUUUUAUAUACAUUUGACCUAUAUAUAAAGCUUUUUAUACAUUAAUGCACUCAUAUUGCACGUAACCCACAAUGCGUCCAUCUUAACUAUGGAAGUAGAAACCGAGUAUUUAGCCCAUAGGGGUUUCAUACAUCUACAGAAGUAGAACCCGGAUGCAGACACCUAUGACUACUACAUGUAACCAUUGUUUGAGACACUUGGUACUAUACUCUCAACGAGAAAUUUCCGAUCAGCGGAUUGCAUGGGUUACGUGACGUUUUCAUGAUGUGAUUUACAGGCAAAUAAGAUUUAAAGAAGCAAAUAACGAGCAAUAUGUAAGUAUGUUGUUGAGUGAUUAACAUUAUCACGGUAUUGUACAUAGAGAUCAAUACACAUACAUGUAAGUUCAUGAUAUCGUCGAUCAAAAUGUAAAUGAAUAAAAUAAAUACAAAUCAAAGAAUU